rnacentral:rRNA from 1 species
UAAGGAAUAUUGGACAAUGGAGGCAACUCUGAUCCAGCCAUGCCGCGUGAAGGAAUAAGGCCCUAUGGGUUGUAAACUUCUUUUAGACGGGACAAAACCCCUUUACGUGUAAAGGGUUGAUGGUACUGUCAGAAUAAGCACCGGCUAACUUCGUGCCAGCAGCCGCGGUAAUACGAAGGAUGCAAGCGUUAUCCGGAAUUAUUGGGUUUAAAGGGUGCGUAGGCGGACUAAUAAGUCAGUGGUGAAAGCCUGCAGCUUAACUGCAGAAUUGCCAUUGAUACUGUUAGUCUUGAGUACAGUUGAGGUAGGCGGAAUGUGUCAUGUAGCGGUGAAAUGCUUAGAUGUGACACAGAACACCGAUUGCGAAGGCAGCUUGCUAAGCUGUAACUGACGCUGAGGCACGAAAGCGUGGGGAGCAAACA